rnacentral:rRNA from 1 species
GGAGGGGGGCGAGCGUUAUUCGGAUUUACUGGUCGUAAAGCGCACGUAGGCGGCUAGGUAUGUCAAAGGGUGAAAGCCCUCGACUCAACCGAGGAACUGCCUUUGAAACUGCUUGGCUUGAGUCCGGGAGAGGGGAGCGGAAUUCCCAGUGUAGCGGUGAAAUGCGUAGAUACUGGGAGGAACACCGGUGGCGAAGGCGGCUCCCUGGACCGGCACUGACGCUGAGGUGCGAAAGCGUGAGUAGCAAACAGGAUUAGAUACCCUGGUAGUCCACGCCGUAAACGAUGGGCACUAGGUGCAGCGGGUGUCGACCCCUGCUGUGCCGAAGCUAACGCAUUAAGUGCCCCGCCUGGGGAGUACGGUCGCAAGGCUG